AAGGCCUUCGUUCACUGCGCGUCACACUCCCCUCUGCCGCACGGGGCAGUGAGGCCACCAGCCAUCCCCCUCCUGCUCCGCCUCGAUGGUGAGGCAGCUGCUCCUCUCCUCCUGCUCCCAGUGCCUCUCACCUUCCUUCCCUUACAGCGCCACACUCAUGGCGAGAAGGCGCGCGCAGGAACGAAGCGUGCGGAGGGGGCUAUGGCAGAUCCACCCUCGGUCGAGCACCGAAAAUGUACCCCGCCACCGGAGGCGGCGGGCCCGCUUGGCGGCCACAGCGCCUGGAGCACGGGGCGGGCGGGGCCAGCGGCAACGCGGCUGCGCAGCGUCUCAACCACAGACGCGCUCUCACCGCCGACGGCCGUAGCAGCCUCUGCAGCUCUCCCUUCUGUCCGUGCAUAUGGCCGCUGCUCCCUCUGACGAGCUGUCUCUACUGCACACAAGUUGUUUGUAGAAAUGCCUAAUAACAAGAACGGAAGCAAGAGCCUGUAAUAUUGUACAUGAUUAUGCCCCCGCACAGUGUUGAUUCUCUGAAUGUCAACUGUCACAAGAUAUUAAGAACAUGAAAAUCGUACAAGGUAAUGUAAACCAUUGCAUUCUGUAUUAGAUCUAAUAAUUAACCAAUGAAUCUGUAAUUCCCAAAGCUGGCAAAAAAUUGAAAUGCCAUCUGAUCACUUUUAAAUCUCUGUAUGCCACUACGGGGUGUUUCCAGAAAGCUCGGCUGCUCAUGGUUAAUUACCCCAGGAAGCUCGGCUGCUCAUGGUUAAUCCUUAAUUCCUUAUAUACUAUGCUCGCCUAGGAUAUGCCUUGGGACUGUUGAGAAGUUCGGUGCCCCUUGCUAUGUUAGUUUUGCACUACUGAACCCGCCUAAAAUUUCUAAACUAGCUCUCACUCACAUGAUGUCAGCCAUAAGCUUUAUUUCACCUUUGGUAAGAUCUGAAGAGUGCUCAUACUCAAAACAAGGUGGAACAGUAAGGUAAUGUCUUUGCUAUAUUCUUGAUGUCAUUUUACAUAACCCUUUUAUUUAAAAAAAAAAUCAUAAACCUGAAACCAAACCUCAUAUAAUAAGAUUCCACCUCCGUUGACAAGUGCCUCAGUUAAGCCUGAAAAGACAAGUUAUGGCAGCACUUUUCCACGAGCACUGUUGUAGAAAAAUAGAACGAAGACUCAUGUCAAUCUUUUGUUGUAUAAAUUGCCUGUGAUCUGUCUUCAUCUCUGCGUUAACCUAUUUGUCAGGUGUUUGCGAAAAAGGUUAUGCCAGCAUUUCUGAUAGGAUCUGCAGCAUCUGGGGGAGCACUUCUGAAGAAAAUAGGAUAAAGGCUAUGAGGUCAACCUUUUGCUGUACAAAUUGCAAGUAGCCUCUGCAUGAUAUUCACAUGUAUGUCAAUAAUAACAUUCCCUUGUGUUGUGCACUUGUCAGUCUUCGAUGUUUAUCUACAAUUACUUCAUGUCUGUAGUUUAUGAUUUAUGAUAUGCCGGCCACACUGGUAGCAUGCUCACACCUUUUUGAGUUGACAUAUGAUGGAAUGCCUCAUUUGCUUA